rnacentral:rRNA from 1 species
GAUGAACGCUGGCGGCGUGCCUAAUACAUGCAAGUCGAGCGAACGGACGAGAAGCUUGCCUCUCUGAUGUUAGCGGCGGACGGGUGAGUAACACGUGGAUAACCUACCUAUAAGACUGGGAUAACUUCGGGAAACCGGAGCUAAUACCGGAUAAUAUUUUGAACCGCAUGGUUCAAAAGUGAAAGACGGUCUUGCUGUCACUUAUAGAUGGAUCCGCGCUGCAUUAGCUAGUUGGUAAGGUAACGGCUUACCAAGGCAACGAUGCAUAGCCGACCUGAGAGGGUGAUCGGCCACACUGGAACUGAGACACGGUCCAGACUCCUACGGGAGGCAGCAGUAGGGAAUCUUCCACAAUGGGCGAAAGCCUGACGGAGCAACGCCGCGUGAGUGAUGAAGGUCUUCGGAUCGUAAAACUCUGUUAUUAGGGAAGAAAAGAUGUAGAAGUAACUGUGCACAUCCUGACGGUACCUAAUCAGAAAGCCACGGCUAACUUCGUG